GACGAACGCUGGCGGCGUGCUUAACACAUGCAAGUCGAACGGAAAGGCCCUGCUUUUGUGGGUUGCUCGAGUGGCGAACGGGUGAGUAACACGUGAGUAACCUGCCCUUGACUUUGGGAUAACUUCAGGAAACUGGGGCUAAUACCGGAUAGGAGCUCCUGCUGCAUGGUGGUGGUUGGAAAGUUUCGGCGGUUGGGGAUGGACUCGCGGCUUAUCAGCUUGUUGGUGGGGUAGUGGCUUACCAAGGCUUUGACGGGUAGCCGGCCUGAGAGGGUGACCGGCGACAUUGGGACUGAGAUACGGACCAGAAUCGUACGGGAGGCAGCAGUGGGGAAUAUUGCACAAUGGGCGGAAGCCUGAGGCAGCAACGCCGCGUGCGGGAUGACGGCCUUCGGGGUGUAAACCGCUUUCGCAUGUGACGAAGAGUGAGUGACGGUAAUGGGUAAAGAAGCACCGGCUAACUACGUG
rnacentral:rRNA from 1 species